rnacentral:lncRNA from 1 species
CAGAGGGCACAUCUGCUGGAUAACACGGAGAGGCUGGAAAGGUCGUCUCGGAGACUAGAGGCUGGGUACCAGAUAGCAGUGGAGACUGGUCUUGCUUUGUGCCCCAACUCAUGAUCCUCUUGCCUUCGUUCCAAAUUGCCAGAAUUACUGCAUCUCCCCUCAACUGGAGAGACCUGAAGCCAUAUUGCUACAUCAACUUUUCCAGAUUCCUUCUGAAGAUUCAGUGAUAUCUGGGAGAGCAGUCACCCCAAAUCUCUCCAGCAAGCUUUCAGUGACGUCAUUACACCCAUAAACAAGUCACUUCGCUCUGGAAUCUCACGUGUGAAAGGACAGCGAGGUUUAGCCUUAUUAUCACAAACUAGCACUAGUUUAUUCCUGACAUUUUUUUUAGAGGCCUAAGCCUUGGCAUUUAAGUGAAAUAUUUGCAGGAAGAAAAAGGAAAUGCUAAGCCCAGGAAGACAGAAGUUACAGCUAAUGCCUCACACAGAUACAGAAUUCAGACGAAUGCAAGAAGACAUUGGUAGACAAGAGUGCUUACUCUCCAGGAGGUGCGACGAACUGGUCUCAUGCCUAUUAAACUCAACACUGGUGCAGUGAGGGAAGCCGUGGAAAGUGUACUUCUCUAGGCACCCCAGUAUUGCCUCUUCAAGACCCUGCAGUGUGGCCAGGUCUGUGGGCGACAUGGACAGAAAUGUUAAAGAAAUUGACUGUUCUUGCUCUAGGCAGAGGCCUCCACAUCAUGAGCCUCCUUGAGAAGAAUUUCCCGGCCCCAAACCAAGCAAAGGUCAGAGCCCAGCACAGGUCAGAGCCCAGCACAGGUCAGAGCCCAGCACAGGUCAGAGCCCUUGACUUGGAGAAUCUCUUUGACGCCAUCCAGUCUGCCUCCUUCUUAUUACAUUUUAAAAGAGAAUAGAUUUCAAUUUUAUAGCAUAAAAUUCAAGUAAUUUGAACC